GGCCGGGGCAGGGGGAGGCUGGGAGCUGUUCCGCCGCAGGAGCUUUUGUCCCGGCCUGGCGCUGUGGCGCUGACAUUAACCGGCCAGAAGCCUGAAUCAAGACAGAGGAAACGGAAAACGAAGCAGUCGCCGCCCACACUGAAAUCGGGGCACUCGAGGCUCCUGGAGAACAGGCUCUGGAGCCAACUCACCUGGGCUCACCUGGGCUCACCUGGGCUCAAACCCCAGCUACCCGCCCACAGGCUGGGUGUUGUUGGCUGAGGCAUUUCACCUCCUUGUGCCUCAGUUUCUUCACCUCCCUUAGGGAUGUGUUGGCCUGAAGGUGGGGGGGACGUGUCCAGGGAAGUGAAGACCAGUGAAUGUGGCUCCUGGAGAUGGGCCCAGCAGGUGCCAGUUUCAAGGCAGAGGUGAGGUGUUGGUUCAGGUCUUUUGGGUCUGAGGGACUCAGGAAGGUGCAAUCAGGGAAACUGAGUCAGCCCUGGACAGAGGAGCUAAGAGAAGGAGCAGGGACAGCACCCAGGCGGGGAGGGCAAGUGCCGUGACCAAGGAGCAGCAGAGAGGAAGGUGCAAAGAAGCCUGAUACCAGGGGCCGGGGAGGAGGUUCCUCGGAGAGCGGGCGGGAGAGCAGGGUAGCUUCCUGUGGCUGGCUCAGGGCUGCCAUGGACAGUGACGAGAAGGAAUCAAGCCUCCAGUUUAGGGAAUCUGUUCCUGGUGAUCCCUGGGCUAAAGGACUCAUCAGGGCAAUCCCAGUAUCUUGCCCUGACACAUAUGUCACCCAGGAGGGUGGUGGCGUGGUCACAGCAGUGCAAUGUGCCUUCUUGUCACCUGAGAGCUCACCCAGGGCCUCACCCGGCUGCUUCUCCAAGGCCCCCCUUUCUGGCCAGCCCCAGAGGAAGGUCUCUUAAGGCAGAAUCACAAAGAGCCUGAGGCUGCCUGGAAUUUUCUCCCAUGCUGCGGUGCUGCCGUGCCAGCCAUCUCAGCGUGCGCGGCCUUUGUACACUUCUCUGGAAUGCGGCUUUUAUUUUCUAACAAAGCAAAUGUUUUACUGUCAGUUUUCCUUUAACAAAUAAAUAUUGGCUCCAACAAAUGUCA
rnacentral:lncRNA from 13 species